rnacentral:tRNA from 1 species
GCCGGGCCGGUACGGCUUCGGGCGGCGGCGGGUGCCCGUCGUCACCGGGAUCGACCUGGACGUCCGCGCGGGCCGGACGCUCGGCA